UGGGGAAUAUUGCGCAAUGGGGGAAACCCUGACGCAGCAACGCCGCGUGAAGGAUGAAGGUUUUCGGAUUGUAAACUUCUUUGAUCGGGGACGAACACAAUGACGGUACCCGAAGAACAAGCCACGGCUAACUACGUGCCAGCAGCCGCGGUAAUACGUAGGUGGCAAGCGUUAUCCGGAUUUACUGGGUGUAAAGGGCGUGUAGGCGGGUCGACAAGUUGGAUGUGAAAUGUACCGGCUCAACUGGUACGCUGCACCCAAAACUGUCGAUCUUGAGUGUUGGAGAGGAUAGUGGAAUUCCUAGUGUAGCGGUAAAAUGCGUAGAUAUUAGGAGGAACACCAGUGGCGAAGGCGGCUAUCUGGACAACAACUGACGCUGAGGCGCGAAAGCGUGGGGAGCAAACAGG
rnacentral:rRNA from 2 species